UAAUACAGAGGGUGCGAGCGUUGUUCGGAAUUAUUGGGCGUAAAGCGCAUGUAGGCGGGUUGUUAAGUCGCGUGUGAAAGCCCCAGGCUCAACCUGGGAAGUGCGCGCGAAACUGGCGACCUUGAGUGCUGGAGAGGGUGGCGGAAUUCCCGGUGUAGAGGUGAAAUUCGUAGAUAUCGGGAGGAACACCAGAGGCGAAGGCGGCCACCUGGACAGACACUGACGCUGAGACGCGAAAGCGUGGGGAGCAAACAGGAUUAGAUACCCUGGUAGUCCACGCUGUAAACGAUGAGUGCUAGCUGUGGUGGGUAUUGACCCCUGCCGUGGCGACGCUAACGCAAUAAGCACUCCGCCUGGGAAGUACGGCCGCAAGGCUA
rnacentral:rRNA from 1 species